rnacentral:rRNA from 1 species
AUUGAACGCUGGCGGCAUGCCUUACACAUGCAAGUCGAACGGCAGCACGGGUGCUUGCACCUGGUGGCGAGUGGCGAACGGGUGAGUAAUAUAUCGGCACAUACCCUAGAGUGGGGGAUAACGUAGCGAAAGUGACGCUAAUACCGCAUACGAACUAAGGUUGAACGAGGGGGAUCGGAAGACCUCAUGCUCAUGGAGUGGCCGAUAUCUGAUUAGCUAGUUGGUGAGGUAAAGGCUCACCAAGGCGACGAUCAGUAGCUGGUUUGAGAGAACGACCAGCCACACUGGAACUGAGACACGGUCCAGACUCCUACGGGAGGCAGCAGUGGGGAAUUUUGGACAAUGGGGGCAACCCUGAUCCAGCAAUGCCGCGUGAGUGAAGAAGGCCCUCGGGUUGUAAAGCUCUUUUGUCAGGGAAGAAACGGUCUACUCUAAUACAGUGGGCUAAUGACGGUACCUGAAGAAUAAGCACCGGCUAACUACGUGCCAGCCGCCGCGGUAACAC